rnacentral:rRNA from 1 species
AUUGAACGCUGGCGGCAGGCCUAACACAUGCAAGUCGAGCGAGCGGCGGACGGGUGAGUAAUGUAUGGGGACUGCCCGAUAGAGGGGGAUAACUACUGGAAACGGUGGCUAAUACCGCAUACUAUCGGAUAACCCAUAUGGGAUUAGCUAGUAGGUUGGGUAAAGGCUCACCUAGGCGACGAUCUCUAGAUGGUCUGAGAGGAUGAUCGGCCACACUGGGACUGAGACACGGCCAAGACCCCUACGGAGGCAGCAGUGGGAACUUUGGCACAAUGCGAGCAAGCAUGAUGAAGCCAUGCCGCGAGUAUGAAGAAGACCGAAGGGGAGUAAAGUACUUUCAGCCAGGAGGCGUCACCCGCAGAAGAAGCACCGACUAACUCCGUGCCAGCAGCCGCGGUAAUAC